rnacentral:rRNA from 1 species
UGUGCCAGCAGCCGCGGUAAUACGUAGGGCGCAAGCGUUGUCCGGAAUUAUUGGGCGUAAAGAGCUCGUAGGCGGUCUGUCGCGUCUGCUGUGAAAACCUCAGGCUCAACCUGGGGCUUGCAGUGGGUACGGGCAGACUAGAGUGCGGUAGGGGUGACUGGAAUUCCUGGUGUAGCGGUGGAAUGCGCAGAUAUCAGGAGGAACACCGAUGGCGAAGGCAGGUCACUGGGCCGCAACUGACGCUGAGGAGCGAAAGCAUGGGGAGCGAACAGGAU